ensembl:ncRNA R02D5.19 ncRNA
AACAAAAAAUGGAAGAAAGAAGAGUCAUGUAUUUACGCGGAAAAAGAGGGGGGAGCGGAUUUCAAAACAUGAAAUAUUCAUAUAGGACCUUCCCUUUUCCUGACACAAUGGGGUCGCCUUGCGGACAUUCAUUCUCCACUCUCUUUUCCAUUUUUCUACUCCCCAUUUUUCCCACAUUGCUCUUUUUGGAGCCACACA